UAUAUUAUUUUAGGAUCAGCAAGAGUGAAGCAAAUCAUACUUUUCAGGCUAGGCUAAGCCAUUUGAUUCCUACAAACAGAUCUGUGUGGACCAAUGAGAUUCACUCAGUUUUACCAAGCUGAGUUGUAGAUGCCCAAUUAAUAGAUAUAUCAUGCUUGAACAAACACAACUAAUCUGAAUUCAGUUGGGCCCAGACUUUGCUUUGCCCGAAACUGAGUUGCUGGUAAUACCGUCUGAGGUUGACCAUGCUGUGGCAAAUCUUCCAGAUAUUCAGUAUAGAGUUAUUUUGCACAUGCAGCAUGCCUCUUUCAACCAAAGGGAGGUUGUUCUUCUACUUAUCCAUGGUACGUACAAAAUGUUGCAGCUGUACAGAUGAUCUUUACCAACAUUUUGUCAGAAGUGGCGUAUUUUCAUUGUAUUUCAAUAUUCACCAUGACAACGUCUUUUCAUUCAUUUAUUUAUUAUCCUUUUUCUUGUUUGAGAGAAGUGUAAGAAGAAGAGAAAGGGAUCAUUGAUUAUUCACCAUGAGAUUUUUCAGAAUUUCUCAUUAUCAUGCAUGAUCAACACGAGGAUUUGCCUGGUUCUUCAACUUCCUUACCCCAUUUCUUGUUUAAUGCUUGGAAGUCAUAAACUAUGUCCUGAGAUUUCGUUUGAUAUUCUAUCUUGGUAGAUACAUGCUCAGUGAAGGGAGGUUGUUCUAGAUGUAAAACUUCUACUUAUCCGUGGUACGUACAAAAUGUUGCAGCUUUACAGACGAUCUUUACCAGCAUUUUUCCAGAUGUGGUGUAUUUUCAUCGUAUUACAUGACAACGUCUUUUUUUUAAUUUAUCUAUUUUCCUUUUUCUUGCUUGAGUGAAGCGUAAUAAGAAGAGAAAAGGACCAUUGAUUCAAUUUGAAAAGAAAAAAAAAUCAAUGUUCCUUUUCUCUUCUUCUUACACUUCUCUCAAGCAAAAAAAAGGAAGAUAAUAAAAGGACCAUUGGUUCUUGACCAUGAGGUUUUGUCAGAAUUUCUCAUUAUCAUGCAUCAUCAACGAGGAUUUGGCUGGUUCUUUAACUUCCUCACCACAUUUCUUGUUUAAUGCUUGGAAGUCAUAGACUAUGUCCUCAGAUUUUGUUUGGUAUCCUAUAUAUCUUGGCAGAUAUAUCUUUUUGCUGCAGCAAUAGGAGACAUGACAACACCUUUUCGUUUAUUUAUUUAUCUGUUUUCCUUUUGCUUGCUUAAGAGACGUGUAAGAAGAAGAGAAAAGGAGCAUUGAUUCUUGACAAUGAGAUUUUGUCAGAAUUUCUCAUAAUCAUGCAUGAUCAACGAGGAUUUGGCCGGUUCUUCAACUUCAUGGCCCCAUUUCUUGUUUAAUGCUUGGAAGUCAUAAACUACAUCCUGAGAUUUUGUUUGAUAUUCUAUCUUGGUAGAUGCAUGAUCAGCGAAGGGAGGUGGUCCUCGGAGGUGGAACCUUACAAUUGUUCAUAUGGUGGAGAGUCAAAAUUUGAAAUGUAAAACUUCUACUUAACCAUGAUGUAUCUUUUUGCUGAGGCUAUAGGAGAUCCUUUUGCUGGGACGAUGACAAGAGGCCAUGUCAUAGACUUCCAAGUGUAAUAUCUUGUACAUGUCACUCUAGUUAAGAAAAAACAUACUCUCUCAGAGGUGGAAGCUUAGAAAUUGUUCAUGUGGUGGAGAUUGAGUCGAAAUUUGAAGUGGCAAAUUUCUAGUUACACCCAUGGUACUUGCAGCCGCACAGAUGAUCUUUACCAACAUUUUGUCAAAUGCAUUUCAAUAUUUGCCGUGAUGCCGUCUUAUUUAUUUAUUUAUUUAUUCUUGCUUGAGAGAAGUGUAAGAAGAGGAGGAAAGGACCAUUGAUUCUUGACCAUAAGAUUCUUUUCAGAAUUUCUCAUGA